AUCCCAUGAUGAGGACACUUGAGUAUGUAAUCUUGAGAGCGCUCCCAAGCUUCUAGGACUAUCUCAUCAUGUUGUUGCUGAAAACUUGAUAUCUUGCCACAUAGAGCAU
rnacentral:snoRNA from 1 species